CUUCGAUCUGCCCGAUCCGGCCACAUCCAGAUCUCGCCGUCCUCCCCUACCCUCCUCUCCGAUGCAAGCCGCCGUGCUCCGCGGUGCUCAACCCCUUUUGCCGCGUGGACUUCGCAGCCAAGAUCUGGAUCUGCCCCUUCUGCUUCUCCCGCAACCAUUUCCCUCACCACUACGCCGGCGUCUCCGAGACCAACGUCCCCGGGGAGCUGUACCCGCAGUAUACCACCAUCGAGUACGCCCUCCCCGCAUCCCACGACCCCGCCGCCGCAGCCGCCGCGGCGUCGCCGGUGUUCUUGUUCGUGCUCGACACAUGCCUCAUCGAGGAGGAGCUGGAAUUCGUCAAGUCCGCGAUGCGGAGGGCCAUCGGGCUACUCCCGG
rnacentral:lncRNA from 1 species